UAGGAUAACUGACUUUUUGUUGUUCUCUGGGUGCAUUCUUCCCGCUCCCCCUCUCUCUCCCCCUCACCCUCUCUCUCCUCUCUCUCUCCCUCUCCCUCUCUCUCUUUUAAAAAAUCAGCCAUUUGGGGUUUUAAGCCAUAAACGAUUUUUCUUGUUGCAGGGGAUUGCAGAGGCAAAGCUAGGCUAGGUCUUGGAGGCUGGUGUGAGGCGGUGCGGGUAAGGCAGGAGCAGGCUGAUGGAAGAAGACACUGGCGGAAGAAAAGCCGAAAUGGAUUCUCCGUGCCUUGGAUGGAGGAAGAGGGGGACGUGCGAGCUCCUUCAACUCAUUCCGUCCGGUGAGGAGUGAUCCAGCUUGGGCUGACAAGAGGCUCCGGGGGCCCUCACGUUCAGUGCUUUUUUACCUGCCAAUCAAACUGCUACAAGACAACACCCUGUUCUGGCAUGGACGCCGCGGGUCCAAGCCUGUAGUCCCAAAUCGGAUAAUCUCUGCAGCUGGUUACACGCAAAAGAGAAGCCAGGCAACAGACAUAUUACAGAAGAAAACUCGACUGCGAGGGAUGCUGGCCAGCCCUAGUAUUGUUAUUCUCCGCGAGGAUGUUUUCCUUCUGUGGCCUUUAGAAAAUAAUGGACGACUGGACUUGCUUGUUUUGACUAAAGAGACUUCUCUUGGGGAGACUGGAGUACUCAGUGUGUCCACAGGGGAAUGUAGCACUUUCCUCUCGGGCAUUGUCUUCUCUACGGGAAGACACAGGCAGCAUACUGAUGUCAGCUGAAGUCCAGUGAAUCCCAAGGUCCCAGGAUCUCAAACAAAAGAACCCGGGCCAAGAAAAACUGUAGGACACUGAAGACGUGGACGUGUGUGUUCAGAAAGCGUAAAUGCAGGUGGAGGAGUGAGCGGCUCCACUGGGACUGUGUGGUGACAGGGACGAAGAGCCAGAGUCAGCCCUGGAUGCAGGAAGAGAGCACCGGAUGCUGAAAGGGUUCUUGGAUCCUGGAGACAGACAGCAAAGCUGGAGUCACACAGGGUGGUGCUGAAGCAACACAGUGAAGUCAUUUUGGGAUGGGCAGUCAUCCUGGGUCUCAUGGCUCCUGGCUAUUUGGACAGUCUCUCCUGUGCCUGGUAGGCGAGAUAGAUAACUAAGGCCACAGCCCUCCUGCUUGACACCUAAUUACAAACCCAACCGAGAGGAGACCACCGGGCCACCUAAAGAAAACUUGUGGAUUGAAUCUAGAAAUUCUCCUCAAGACCCAUUUAAAAGAAUCUGACUGGUUGCUUUGGUCUAAGAAUUCAGGCGUCUCUUGCAAAACUAAGGCAGACCUCAUUUUCCAUUUGUGGUCCUAUUGGUCAGCCCCGGGCCCUGUGAGAAGCUUACCAGGAGGUCCCACGCUGGAAGGACCAUGUGAGUUCAUCUCAGACAAUGGGUGGCCCCACGGUUUUAGUGACUCACACAGCGGAGAACCACAUUCUCUCUGGAAGAUCUUAGCAACUUGCAUUUGGUAACACAGCGAGGUGAGCUAGAGCUGCAUCUGGAGCAUUUCCUUCUGUGGUUGUUCUGAGAAAAAGACAAGAAAAGAAAUGGCUCCUGAGUUACCUUCUGUUUCCUUUCAAAAUUCAGAUAAAUUAAUCAGGGAUACAUGCCUGUAGUCUCAGCCCUAGAGAGGUUGAGGCAGGAGGCUACCCCAAGCCACACUGCAAGAUGCUGUUUCAGAAAUAACAAACAACCAGUUGGGCAUGGUGGCUCACACCUCUGAUCCCAGCACUCAGGGGUUCGAGGCCAUCCUGGUCUAUCUCUAUAUAGAGAGUAACAGGACAGUCAGGGCUACAAAAUAAGAGACUCUGUUUCAAAACACACACACACACACACACACACACACACACACACACACACACACCACACAUACACAAAAGACAACUUACUGAACACAUAGAUUUAUGUGCAUUCUAUUCCAGGAAGCCAGUGGUGAUUAUGAAACAGUAAAAAUAGGUCACAGCAGAAUGCACAUUCAAGAUCAGCUUAGAACACUUCUCGGUCACUUCUGUAUCAUUUGGGUGUGACAGUUAUUACAUUUCGGUAAUUCAUCUUUUAGGAGGGCACUUAGAAUCAAUAUGGAAAAGAUCCGUAUCUACUUCUUUAUUUAUUUUGUGAAACAGGCUCUCCUAUAUUCCAAGCUGACCUUGAACUUGAUGUAGCUGAAGAUGGCUUUGAUCUGGGAGUAAAGGUGCUGUCACUUCCAGGAGAAAAAAAAAAGAUAUUUAGACCAAAGACAUUGUUUUAUUAUAUAGCCAAUGCUUCUUUAAAUGCCAAUCAACACUGGCUUCUCCGGUGCUCGAUGGUGUGUGUGUGUGUGUGUGUGUGUGUGUGUGUGUGUGUGUGUGUGUGUGUGUAAGUGCUCUUAAACACUGGUACACAUGAGUGAGCACAUAGCAGGCACCCAAGAGGUUGGGGGGAGGGGUCCAGAGUCUUCAGAUCAGGCGGUAGGUGAGAAAAUUAAGGGUGGGUCGGAGCAACAACACCAUUGAAAGUCUGUGAUUUCAUUUCACAAAAGUUAUGGUUCAGCUGUCUAGUUGGUUUGUCAUUGCUAAUGUUUUGUAGGGCUGAAGACUCAUACUCAGGAUCUCACUGGUGUUAAACAACCCCUCCCCCAGAGAAUCUCAUCCUUAGCCUUCCGAGUUUAAAAAAACAAAACAAAACAGAAUUAUAAUUCUCACUUAAUUUUAUGUUACAUCCAGGAACUAUUUUUAAAAGUGUUGUGUUCUAACCUGUGACCAAAAGUCAGGUAGUAUCCGUUCUGAUGUGUGUGCAUUUGCUCUGAGGGACUGAACCUGACUAAGUAAGUAUUUAUGUUGUCUGGGACUUUAGGACAAGGUCGAAUUUGGCAUUAACAUGAAAGAGCAUUUGCUAGGUUGGGGUUUUUGUUGUAGUUUUGUUUUUGUUUUUGUUUUCUUUUGUUUCCCAGACAGGGUUUCUCUGUGUAGCCCUGGCUGUCUGGGAACUCACUCUGUAGACCAGGCUGGCCUGGAACUCACAGAGAUCUGCCUCUGCCUUCCCAGACGCUGGGAUUAAAGAUGUGCACCACCACGCCUAACUCUGCUGCUUAUUUUAAGCUUCAGUAGUCACUGCUCUAAAACAAAGUAUUUUUUCCCCUCUGUGUAUUCUUUGUUAUGUGUAAAGUAUUGCCAGAGUUGUUUUGUUGUUGUUGUUGUUGGUGGUGGUGGUGUGUGUGUGUGUGUGUGUGUGUGUGUGUGUGUGUGUGUGUGUGUAGGUGUUUGGUCUGCUCUUAUGUCUGUAUAUCUCAUGCAUGCCUGGUGCCCAUGGAAAUCACAAGAGAGCAUUGGAUCCCCUGGGACUUGAGUUACAGACAAGUGUGAGUUGCUAUGUAGGUAUUGGGAAUUGAACCUGGGUCCUCCGAAUAGUGGCCAGUGGUCUUAAUUGGCUGAGCCAUCUCUCCAGCCAUGAGUGUUGUCUUUAACGUAUGUACUAUUUUUGUGAGGUCAUCUGUUACAUGUAAUAAAGUAUGUAAUGACAAUACUUCUUUGCUUUCUUCCCCUACAUUUAUUAUUUCAAGGGAGGCACAAUGGAGAACCUUCACUCAAGGGGAAAAAUUACCUUGAGCCUGUUUUUGAGGCAAAAAUGUUUAUUUAGAAAUUUCCCUCCAAUAGCUGAUUAUUCUCUGAAAGGAGCAGGGUGAUAUUAGGAUUUCCAAGACUAUUGCAUUGUUUAAAAGGUUUGCUCAUACCAAAAAAAAAAAGGUUUGCUUAUGCCUUAUUCGUAUGUUGUCAGCAAUGUGGGUCUCCCCCCCCCCCCAAAAAAAAAAGGAGAAAAAAGAAAAA